rnacentral:rRNA from 1 species
AGAGUUUGAUCCUGGCUCAGAACGAACGCUGGCGGCGUGCUUAACACAUGCAAGUCGAACGCGAAAGUUUUCUUCGGAAAGCGAGUAGAGUGGCGCACGGGUGAGUAACGCGUAAAUAAUCUACCCUUGCAUCUGGGAUAACCCACCGAAAGGUGUGCUAAUACCGGAUACGUUCUUUUAACCGCGAGGUUUUAAGAAGAAAGGUGGCCUCUGAUAUAAGCUACUGUGCAGGGAGGAGUUUGCGUACCAUUAGCUAGUUGGUAGGGUAACGGCCUACCAAGGCAACGAUGGUUAGCGGGUCUGAGAGGAUGAUCCGCCACACUGGAACUGGAACACGGACCAGACUCCUACGGGAGGCAGCAGUGAGGAAUAUUGCGCAAUGGGGGCAACCCUGACGCAGCGACGCCGCGUGGAUGACGAAGGCCUUCGGGUCGUAAAAUCCUGUCAGAUGGAAAGAA